ensembl:lncRNA
GGCCUUUUAUGAACAGGAGACAGCUGGCUCCCUCCACAUUAAGCAAGUUUAAUAGGACUUAGGAUGGUCCUCAUGACAUCCUUUUUGCUCUAUGCCCAAAAGGAAAAACAAAAAAGGAGGAAAUGUAUUAACAAAUCAGCCUUUCCUUCUAAACUGGACUUCAGUUUCCUUGGAGAGGGAAUACUACAUUGUGGAUGAAGAUUCCACAUUCUUAGAAGUGAUUCUCAUGUGCAGAGGACACCUUGGAAGAACAUCCUUCAUCAGUAAGUAACUUGGGCUUGGUUGUUGGCAACAGGUCAUGGAAACAUGAAAUGAAAAAGAAUCAUGAAUGGUUUCAGAGGAGCCCCUAAAAGCUAUAUGUGAAAAGUGUAAUGCAGUUUUCACUGCAUCCAUUGGAACCAAAGAUGAAACUUCCAAAAAAGAUAAAGAUUUUAAAGUAAGAGCCUUUCAAUGGAUCAAAUUCAACCCUGGACAGACCACAGCCAUGUGGAAGGUUCUGCCACAGGCACGAUUCCUUCCACAGUGGUAGCUUUCUCUGACUACAUCUCAUGACCAGCAGACCACAGCAGCAUCCUCCACUUUGAAAAGGAUGAAACUGAGAAGACCUGCCGGGCCCUCAGCUUCGAUGACUCUUUUUAUGAAGAGGAGGAAUAUUUUCACGUGUCCCUGAGCCUGCCAGUGGGAGGACAGCUGGGAGCCAAAUUCCCACCACCAAGGAAGGAAAGAAAGAGCAAGCACAAAGAAGUUACAUAAGACUUGGAAAGAAGCCAAGAAAAGGACCUGAGUCAAGUUUCCAGAUUCCCAACCAGGACCACUGCACAAGGACUUUUAUCUUGGCAGCACAGGGAUCCUCUCUGAAAACAGUCAGUAGAUGCAUCUUCAACUGGCACAGAUGAGCCAGGCAUGGUGGCACAUGCCUGCAACUUUUGAAAGAAAAUAGUAAUAAAGACAAGACCAGAAUCAGACUAUAUUACUAGUCUCCUAUUGGACUGAUUGCUUCAUCUCUCAACCACGCUUUUGUCAGGACUAGACAGGCUAUGAGUUGCUGUGCUCAGAUCGAGGCAGCAUUAGACUGGCUUGCUAGUCUUAACCCAAAAUUAAUGCAACUACUUUAUGGAUCCAGCAUAGAACUUCCAUAAAACUGAGAGCUCUGUCAAGAGAUAAGCAGAUGGAGUCAAGUUUGAGCAGUAUAUAUGCUCUCAAGGUGCAUGGGGUAAAUUUAUCAUGUAUUAUAAUGUUUUGUUUGAAAUUGUGUCUUUAAAACAACCAUAGAACAAGGGAAAAUAUGAGUAAGGUCAAAAGUGGUUUUUCAUUUGUUUAUUUUUGGCCUGAAUGGCUUUGCUUGGUGAUAAUGUACCCUACACCCUAUGUACCAGACCUUAGAAAUAGGUAGUAGACCAUUAAAAAG